AUGACGGACUGCACCGACUCGCCGUCUUGCCGUGCUGGAGCAGGCGCGCCCGUGCUGGAGCGGCCAGACGAGAUGAAGGGCACGAACGGCGACGGAGCAGGCGCGCUGUGCCAGUACCAGCACGGCGGCCCCGCCAGGGCGCCGCGGCUGGGGCUCGAGAUCCGCGAGCCCUUCCUGCGUCUGAUCACGUCCAUGCGAGCCGCGCUCAACCCCGCCGCCGACGACAGAGGCGCCGGCCCAGAGGGGGAGGGGGCGCCAGCGGGGAAGAAUCAGGGCCAGAGACGGCUGAGCCGGGUGGGACUGCGGGCGCUCCAAAUCGGCGACAGCAAGAUCGCUCGAACGGACGAGUUCGACAUAGCGGCCAAGUUCCAGUACAAGAAGCCCAAGAAGAUCGUGCUCCAGCUGCACCGGGCCGACGCCUUGGUCAAGAUCCACAUCCUCUGGUCCAACAUCCUGGCCAUGUCGGCGCGCUUCGACGACGCCAGAUUCGACACGCUGAGGAUCCAGGUCAAAUGCGCGUCCGAGCGGUACAGUGCUAUUCAGCCUCCAGCAGCAAGCAGAAUGCAUCUCCGAUGGCAGCGCUGCAACGAUGUUAUUCCAAGGACCUUUUUGCUCUGGUUUGACAAGGGGACGCUGGAGAGGGGCUACGGCAAGAUGAUGUACGCCGACCCUUCGCUGCUUCUACUGCCGUCGCCCCCUCCGGGACAAGGAGAGGAGGGGGAGGAAGAAGCCCCGUCCCCACCAUUCCUCUUUGGCGCGACGCCGAGCACGAUGAUGAUGACAGGCUCAGCAAACACAGGGGCCGAUCCCGCGACGUAUCAUGAGUACUGGGGCACCCAGUUGCAGGACGCGAUUCAGUCGGCACAUAUUCGUUCCUUGUACAGAUAG
rnacentral:rRNA from 1 species